UACGUAGGGUGCGAGCGUUGUCCGGAAUUACUGGGCGUAAAGAGCUCGUAGGUGGUUUGUCGCGUUGUUCGUGAAAUCCCACGGCUUAACUGUGGGCGUGCGGGCGAUACGGGGCAGACUGGAGUACUGCAGGGGGAGACUGGAAUUCCUGGUGUAGCGGUGGAAUGCGCAGAUAUCAGGAGGAACACCGGUGGCGAAGGCGGGUCUCUGGGCAGUAACUGA
rnacentral:rRNA from 1 species